rnacentral:misc_RNA from 1 species
UGAGCAUAACUCUCCUUUCCAGGUAGAUUUGCAAUCCCCCUGUACAUAUGUCUUGUUCUCUGAUGGCAUCAUAUCUAAGUUUAUAUCAUCUUUGUUUCAAAAUUUGCUUAUAAAUUGUUGGUUGAGGGUUUCAGUUUGCCAUUAAAACAAUGAUCUAAAUGCUUUCUUUGGGCAACAAUAUUUAGGUGGCAGGCUUUCAUGGAACCUUUUUUUAUUUCAUUUACAAUGCCUAAUUUAAUGCGUGAAAAAAAAAAAAUUGCCAACAAUAGUGCCACAUGGUAGCAGCACCAAGUUGCCAACUCCAUUAUGAGCCUAUGUUACAGUAGCUCAUAUGCAUGUUGAAUUUGCUAUCCAGAGUUCCAGAGAUUACAUGAUAUCAUACCGAAAGGUGAUCAAGUAUUACACGAUAUCAUACCAAUAUGUGAUCAAGUAUGUUGGAUUAGAGUUUAUAAGAUGCACACAAAUAUGCCACAUCGUAAUUUUAUUUUGCAGCUUUUAGUGUUCCUUUCUUUUUCAAUUGGGGGUGGGGGAGGCAUUAGGGUUUAUAAGCUGGACACAAAUGUGCUGCGUGGUAAUUUUAUUUUUUUGCUUUUAGUGUUCUUUUUUUAUUUUGGUUUGGAGGGUUGGUGGUGGGGGAGGCUCUCUAGGGCCUUGCACUACACAACAAAAGGAUGACUCUCCCCUUCCCUAACCCUAAACCCCACCGUUUCUAAAUCAUCAAUAUUUGAUGGAUGGUAAGAUUUGAACUCAAGAUCUUCUACCCUCCAUACCAUUAAGAGUGUGUUUGGUAGAAGGUUAAAAAAUCAAGGGUUAAAUGUUAUCCUCGUAAGUAUAAAGAGGGUAAUUAUUAACUUAUGUCUCCCAAGGUUAACGUUUGACCCUCAAGAAUGCGUAAAUAUUAAUAAGAUAAAAAAUUAAUCUAGUCUCUUUAAAGUAUCCAAAUAACAUUAAUGAGGGGUUAAAUGUUACUCGAGUAACAAUUAUCUCUUAUUAACCUCGUACCAAAUAUCCCCAAAGGAGUAUGGAAAGAUGGCCUGAUUGUCAUACUGUGAUUAAUUCAUUUAAAAUAAUGGAGCCGAGAGCCAUGAUAUGGUGAUUAGUGGGUAUGUCUCUUAGGUGGGGCUAAAUUUUGGGAUUGGUCAUCCUUAGCAAAAGAAAAUUAGCAAAAUGUUUGAUUUCAAAGAUUUUUCUGAUACGUUCUGCAAUGUUAGAUUAAUCUUUCACAUGGUAACAUUUUCAUAGAAAAGUACCCUACUCAAUUCUUUGAUUUUAUAUUGAUCUUAUAUGUAAUAAUGAUUGCUACCUUCUUUUGCACCUGCUUACACUAAUGAAAAUCUGUUUUGACUUCCGCAGGUUUAUUACACUUUCAACCAA